rnacentral:lncRNA from 1 species
UGCAUUCGACUCACAGAGUGGAACAUUCCCUUUGAUAGAGCAGUUUUGAGACACCGUUUUUGUAGAAUUCCCAAGUGGAUAUUUAGAGCACUUUGAAGUCUCUGCUAGAAAAGGAAACAUCUUCAUGUAAAAAGUAGAUAGAAUCGUUCUCAGAAAGUGCUUAGUGACGUGUGCGUUCAACUCACAGAGUGUAACGUUUCUUUUGAUAGAGCGUUUCUGAAACACCCUUCUUGUAGUAGCUGCAAGUGGAUAUUUGGACCUAUUGGAGGCCUUCUUUGGAAACGGGAUUUCUUCAUGUAACUCUAGAUUGAAGAAUUCUCAGAAACUCCUUUGUGAUGUGUGCAUUCAAUUCAAAGAGUGAAACCUCCCUUUUCACAGAGCAGUUUGGAAACACUGUUUUUGUAGGAUUUCCAAGGGGAUAUUUAUAGCGCAUUGAGCCUACGGCAGAAAAAGAAACAUCUUCCUAUAAAAACUAGACAGAAUAAUUCUCAGAAUCUGCUUUGUGAUGUGUGCGUUCAACUCAUAGAGUAAAACUUUUCUUUUGAUAGAGCAGUUUUGAAACACUCUUUUUGUAAUAUUUGCAUGUGUAUAUUUAGAGCGCAUUGAAGCCCACAGUAGAAAAGGAAAUAACUUCACCUAAAACCUAGACAGAAGCAAUCUCAGAAACUACUUUGUGAUGUGUACAUUCAACUCACAGAGUGGAACUUUCCUCUUUAUAGAGCAGUGUUGAAACACUCUUUUUGUAGAAACUGCAGGUGGAUAUUUGGACCUCUUUGAGGCCCUCGUUGGAAACGGGAUUUCUUCCUAUAACCCUAGACAGAAGAAUUUUCAGAAACCUCAUUGUGAUGUGUGCGUUCAUCUCACAGAGUGGAGUCUUCCGUUUGAUAGAGAAGUUUUGAAACCCUGUUCUUGUAGGAUUUCCAAGUGGAUAUUUAGACCACUUUGAAGCCUAUGAUAGAAAAGGAAACAUCUUCAUGGAAAACAUAGAUAGAAUCAUUCUCAGAAACAACUUUGUGAUGUGUGCGUUGAACUCACCGUCUUUAAACUUUCUUUUGGUAGAGAAGUUUUGAAACACUCUCUUUGUAAAGUCUACAAGUGGAUAUUUUGAGCCCUUGGAGGCAUUCUUUGGAAAAGGGAAUGUCUUCACGUAAAAGGCAGACAGAAGUGUUCUCAGAAACUGCUUUGUGAUGUCUGUGUUCAACUCACAGAGUUUAACAUUUCCUUUGAUAGAGCAGUUUAGUAACACUGUCUUUGUAGAAUUUGGAAGUGUAUACUAAGAGCGCUUUGAGUUCUAUGGUAGAAAAGGAAAUAUCUUUGCAUAAAAGCUAGACAGAAGCAAUCUCAGAAACUCCUUUGUGAUGUCUGCAUUCAACUCACCGAGUGGAACAUUCCUCUUGAUAGAGCAGUUUGGAAACGCUCUUUCUGUAGAAUCAGCUUGUUUGUAUUUGGACCACCUUGAGGCCUUCGUUGGAAACGGGUUUUCAUCUUAUAAACCCAGACAGAAGAAUUCUCAGAGUCUUCUUUGUGAUGUGUGCUUUCAACUCACCGAGAUAAAGAUUUCUCUUGAUAGAGCAAUUUGGAAACACUCUUUUUGUAGAAUUUGCAAGGGUACCCUGAGAGUGCUUUCAGGCCUAUGGUAGAAAAGGGAAUAUCUUUCCAUAAAAGGUAGACAGAAGCAAUCUCAGAAACUGCUUUGUGAUGUGUGCAUUCAACUCACCGAGUGCAACAUUCCUCUUGAUAGAGCAGUUUGGAAACAUUGUUUCUGUAGAAUCUGCAAGUGGAUAUUUGGACCUCUUUGAGGCCUUCGUUGGAAACGGGAUUUCUUCCUAUAAACCCAGACAGAAGAAUUCUCAGAGACUUCUUUGUGAUGUGUGAAUUCAACUCACAGUGUGGAUCCUUCCUUUUGAUAGAGCAGUUUUGAAACACUGUUUUUGUAGUAUUUCCAAGCGGAUAUUUGGAACGCCUUGAAGCGUAUGGUAGAAAAGGAAAUAUCUUCUCAUAAAACCUAGACAGAACCAAUCUCAGAAACGACUUUGUGAUGUCUGCAUUCAACUCACAGAGUUGAACAUUUCUCUUGAUAGAGCAGUUUUGAAACCCUCUUUCUGAAGGAUCUGCAAGUGGAUAUUUGGACCUCCUUUGGGUCUUCGUUGGAAACGGGAUUUCUUCGUAUAAAUCUAGACAGAAGAAUUCUCCGAAAUUUCUUUGGUUGUGUGCACUCAAGUCACAGAGUGGAACCUUCCUUUGGAUAGAGCAGUUUGAAACGCUGUGGUUGUAGUAUUUCCAAGCGGAUAUUAGAGCGCCUUGAAGCCUAUGGUAGAAAAGGAAAUAUCUUCCCAUAAAACCUAGACGGAAGCAAUCUCAGAAACUACUGUGUGAUGGCUGCAUUCCACACACACGGUGGAACAUUUCUCUUGAUAGAGCAGUUUUGAAACACUCUUUCUGUAGAAUCUGCAAGUGGAUAAUUGGACCGCCUUGAGGCCUUCGUUGGAAACGGGAUUUCUUCAUGUUACUCUAGAUAGAAGAAUUCUCAAACACUACUAUGUGAUGUUUGCAUUCAAGUCACAGAGUGCAACAUUCCUCUUGACAGAGCAGUUGGGAAACACUCCUUUUGUAGAAUUUGCAAUGGGAUAUUUGGACUUCUUUGAGGCCUUCGUUGGAAACGGGAUUUCUUCGUAUAAAUCUAGACAGAAGAAUUCUCAGAAACUUCUUUGUGAUGUGUGCAUUCAACUCAGCGAGUGGCACCUUCCUUUGGAUACAGCAGUUUUGAAACACUGUUUUUGUAGUAUUUCCAAGCAGAUAUUUAGAGCGCCUUGAAGCCUAUGCUAGAAAUGGAAAUAUCUCCCCAUAAAACCAAGAGAGUAGCAAUCUCAGAAACUAAUGUGUGAUGGCUGCAUUCCACACACACGGUGGACCAUUUCUCUUGAUAGAGCAGUUUUGAAACACUCUUUCUGUAGAAUCUGCAAGUGGAUAAUUGGACCUCCUAGAGGUCUUCAUUGGAAACGGGAUUUCUCCAUCUAAACCUACAGAGAAGAAUUCUCAGUAACUUCUUCGGAUGUGUGCACUCGACUCACAGAAUGGAACAUUUCCUUUGAUAGAGCAGUUUUGAAACACCGUUUUUGUAGAAUUCCCAAGUGGAUAUUUAGAGCACUUUGAAGUCUCUGCCAGAAAAGGAAACAUCUUCAUGUAAAAAGUAGAUAGAAUCAUUCUCAGAAAGUGCUGAGUGAUGUGUGCGUUCAACUCACAGAGUGUAACGUUUCUUUUGAUAGAGCGUUUCUGAAACACCCUUCUUGUAGUAGCUGCAAGUGGAUAUUUGGACCUAUUGGAGGCCUUCUUUGGAAACGGGAUUUCUUCAUGUAACUCUAGAUUGAAG